rnacentral:rRNA from 1 species
GACAGAGGUGCCGAGCGUUAGGCGGAAUCACUGGGCUUAAAGCGUGUGUAGGCGGACUUCUAAGUACCUUGUGAAAUCCCCCGGCUCAACCGGGGAACUGCUUGGUAUACUGGUUGUCUUGAGCCACUUAGGGGCAGUCGGAACAGACGGUGGAGCGGUGAAAUGCGUAGAUAUCGUCUGGAACGCCAAAGGUGAAAACAGACUGCUGGGAGUGUGCUGACGCUGAGACACGAAAGCCAGGGAGCAAAGCGGGAU